rnacentral:rRNA from 1 species
UUAAGCGACUAAGCGUACACGGUGGAUGCCCUGGCAGUCAGAGGCGAUGAAGGACGUGCUAAUCUGCGAUAAGCGUCGGUAAGGUGAUAUGAACCGUUAUAACCGGCGAUUUCCGAAUGGGGAAACCCAGUGUGAUUCGUCACACUAUCAUUAACUGAAUCCAUAGGUUAAUGAGGCGAACCGGGGGAACUGAAACAUCUAAGUACCCCGAGGAAAAGAAAUCAACCGAGAUUCCCCCAGUAGCGGCGAGCGAACGGGGAGGAGCCCAGAGCCUGAAUCAGUGUGUGUGUUAGUGGAAGCGUCUGGAAAGGCGCGCGAUACAGGGUGACAGCCCCGUACACAAAAAUGCACAUGCUGUGAGCUCGAUGAGUAGGGCGGGACACGUGGUAUCCUGUCUGAAUAUGGGGGGACCAUCCUCCAAGGCUAAAUACUCCUGACUGACCGAUAGUGAACCAGUACCGUGAGGGAAAGGCGAAAAGAACCCCGGCGAGGGGAGUGAAAAAGAACCUGAAACCGUGUACGUACAAGCAGUGGGAGCCGCUUGGUGACUGCGUACCUUUUGUAUAAUGGGUCAGCGACUUAUAUUCUGUAGCAAGGUUAACCGAAUAGGGGAGCCGAAGGGAAACCGAGUCUUAACGGGCGUUAAGUUGCAGGGUAUAGACCCGAAACCCGGUGAUCUAGCCAUGGGCAGGUUGAAGGUUGGGUAACACUAACUGGAGGACCGAACCGACUAAUGUUGAAAAAUUAGCGGAUGACUUGUGGCUGGGGGUGAAAGGCCAAUCAAACCGGGAGAUAGCUGGUUCUCCCCGAAAGCUAUUUAGGUAGCGCCUCGUGAAUUCAUCUCCGGGGGUAGAGCACUGUUUCGGCAAGGGGGUCAUCCCGACUUACCAACCCGAUGCAAACUGCGAAUACCGGAGAAUGUUAUCACGGGAGACACACGGCGGGUGCUAACGUCCGUCGUGAAGAGGGAAACAACCCAGACCGCCAGCUAAGGUCCCAAAGUCAUGGUUAAGUGGGAAACGAUGUGGGAAGGCCCAGACAGCCAGGAUGUUGCCUUAGAAGCAGCCAUCAUUUAAAGAAAGCGUAAUAGCUCACUGGUCGAGUCGGCCUGCGCGGAAGAUGUAACGGGGCUAAACCAUGCACCGAAGCUGCGGCAGCGACACUGUGUGUUGUUGGGUAGGGGAGCGUUCUGUAAGCCUGUGAAGGUGUCUGUGAGGAUGCUGGAGGUAUCAGAAGUGCGAAUGCUGACAUAAGUAACGAUAAAGCGGGUGAAAAGCCCGCUCGCCGGAAGACCAAGGGUUCCUGUCCAACGUUAAUCGGGGCAGGGUGAGUCGACCCCUAAGGCGAGGCCGAAAGGCGUAGUCGAUGGGAAACAGGUUAAUAUUCCUGUACUUGGUGUUACUGCGAAGGGGGGACGGAGAAGGCUAUGUUGGCCGGGCGACGGUUGUCCCGGUUUAAGCGUGUAGGCUGGUUUUCCAGGCAAAUCCGGAAAAUCAAGGCUGAGGCGUGAUGACGAGGCACUACGGUGCUGAAGCAACAAAUGCCCUGCUUCCAGGAAAAGCCUCUAAGCAUCAGGUAACAUCAAUCGUACCCCAAACCGACACAGGUGGUCAGGUAGAGAAUACCAAGGCGCUUGAGAGAACUCGGGUGAAGGAACUAGGCAAAAUGGUGCCGUAACUUCGGGAGAAGGCACGCUGAUAUGUAGGUGAAGUCCCUCGCGGAUGGAGCUGAAAUCAGUCGAAGAUACCAGCUGGCUGCAACUGUUUAUUAAAAACACAGCACUGUGCAAACACGAAAGUGGACGUAUACGGUGUGACGCCUGCCCGGUGCCGGAAGGUUAAUUGAUGGGGUCAGCGCAAGCGAAGCUCUUGAUCGAAGCCCCGGUAAACGGCGGCCGUAACUAUAACGGUCCUAAGGUAGCGAAAUUCCUUGUCGGGUAAGUUCCGACCUGCACGAAUGGCGUAAUGAUGGCCAGGCUGUCUCCACCCGAGACUCAGUGAAAUUGAACUCGCUGUGAAGAUGCAGUGUACCCGCGGCAAGACGGAAAGACCCCGUGAACCUUUACUAUAGCUUGACACUGAACAUUGAGCCUUGAUGUGUAGGAUAGGUGGGAGGCUUUGAAGUGUGGACGCCAGUCUGCAUGGAGCCGACCUUGAAAUACCACCCUUUAAUGUUUGAUGUUCUAACGUGGACCCGUGAUCCGGGUUGCGGACAGUGUCUGGUGGGUAGUUUGACUGGGGCGGUCUCCUCCUAAAGAGUAACGGAGGAGCACGAAGGUUGGCUAAUCCUGGUCGGACAUCAGGAGGUUAGUGCAAUGGCAUAAGCCAGCUUGACUGCGAGCGUGACGGCGCGAGCAGGUGCGAAAGCAGGUCAUAGUGAUCCGGUGGUUCUGAAUGGAAGGGCCAUCGCUCAACGGAUAAAAGGUACUCCGGGGAUAACAGGCUGAUACCGCCCAAGAGUUCAUAUCGACGGCGGUGUUUGGCACCUCGAUGUCGGCUCAUCACAUCCUGGGGCUGAAGUAGGUCCCAAGGGUAUGGCUGUUCGCCAUUUAAAGUGGUACGCGAGCUGGGUUUAGAACGUCGUGAGACAGUUCGGUCCCUAUCUGCCGUGGGCGCUGGAGAACUGAGGGGGGCUGCUCCUAGUACGAGAGGACCGGAGUGGACGCAUCACUGGUGUUCGGGUUGUCAUGCCAAUGGCACUGCCCGGUAGCUAAAUGCGGAAGAGAUAAGUGCUGAAAGCAUCUAAGCACGAAACUUGCCCCGAGAUGAGUUCUCCCUGACCCUUUAAGGGUCCUGAAGGAACGUUGAAGACGACGACGUUGAUAGGCCGGGUGUGUAAGCGCAGCGAUGCGUUGAGCUAACCGGUACUAAUGAACCGUGAGGCUUAACCUU